ACACUGUUGAAGAGUCCCAAACUAGGACGAAACAACUGUCCAGUAC
rnacentral:hammerhead_ribozyme from 1 species